AAUACCAAAAAUCAAACAACAAAAAGUAAAUUAGUACAACAACAGAAAACUAAAUAAUGGAAAAAAAAGAAAACGUAUAACCAAGUAUAAAUCUUGACGACUUAAGUAUUUAGUAAAGCGAUAGCAACCUGAAAAUAGUAUAAGAUAGUAAGUGUUAGAAAAACAAAAACAAAAGGACUUAUCAUUAUUACUAAAAUUAGCACGAAAAAAAAUAUAUAUAUAUAUACAUCUAUAUAUAUUUUACUAAAACUUAGAACAUGGUUAAUCAUCUGAUUAAGACCCUUAUAGUAAUAAGGUGAUGAAGUAAUUUGAAUUGUUAAAAAGGGGAAUUAAUGAGAAGCGGGUAACUGACAUUAGGGCUGAAGUUAGUAAGGA